UACGUAGGGUGCAAGCGUUGUCCGGAAUUAUUGGGCGUAAAGAGCUCGUAGGCGGUUUGUCGCGUCUGCUGUGAAAACUCGGGGCUUAACCCCGGGCCUGCAGUGGGUACGGGCAGACUAGAGUGCGGUAGGGGAGACUGGAACUCCUGGUGUAGCGGUGAAAUGCGCAGAUAUCAGGAGGAACACCGGUGGCGAAGGCGGGUCUCUGGGCCGUAACUGACGCUGAGGAGCGAAAGCGUGGGGAGCGAACAGG
rnacentral:rRNA from 1 species